AACGAACGCUGGCGGCAUGCCUAACACAUGCAAGUCGAACGAAACCUCCGGGACUUUUGGCGCACGGGGGUGUCACGCGUGGGAAGCUUCCCUUAUGUUCGGAAUAACUCCCCGACAGGGGUGCUAAUGCCGGAUAAUUUCUUCUAACCAAAGAUUUAUCGCCCUUGGAUGGGCGCGAGUUGGAUUAGCUUGUUGGGAGGGUAAUAGCCUCUCACGGCGACGAUCCAUAGCUGGUUUGAGAGGAUGCUCAGCAACACUGGGACGAGGACCCGGCCCAGAAUCUUACGGAAGGCGGGAGAGCGGAAUAGUGGAAAACCGCGGAAGGGCUGAUGCAGCAAGGCCGCGAGAGUGAUGAAGGCCGGAGAGAAGAAAAGCUCAUUUAACCGGGAUGAUAAUGACGGUACCGGGAGAAUAAGCCCCGGCUAACUACGUG
rnacentral:rRNA from 1 species